ensembl:lncRNA
CUUAAAUUCCGCGUAAACAUCUCCAGUUCCAUCAAACCACAUCCAGAUCUUCAGAGAUCUCUCUCUCUCACACACACCACACACACACACACACAUCAGGACUCGGUGGGUAUGUUAGUGCAUGUGGGCGGACGUCGUGUCACGUCAGAAAUAUGGAACGAUUGACUAAUGAUAGGAAUUUCCAGUGAGUCAGAUUCGACAAUAAGAGACAAUGAGAGUCGAAUCUUUUGAUUUGUUUCGUGAAACCGUUCUCUUGCGUAUGUUUGGGGCUCGUUCGCAGAACAUGUUGCCGAUGCUUAGAACGUUCACGCAUUCAUUGACCCUUUCUUUUUCUCCCCCCAGACACUGGACAUCGAUCCUUUUAAUUGAGAACAUGUGGAGAAGCUGGAGGACAAGAACCAGAACUCCAUCUGUUGCAUGUUACAAACACACACACACACACACAUACACACACACGCACAAAUACUUUCUAGAACUAUUGAUUUACACCAAGAAGCUGGAGGUGCUUUUAAUAAGGCCCAAAAGUCCCUGGAUUUCUUACAGUAAUUGGCCGUAGAGGAACAAGACGAUGUAACCCAUGGCAACCCAGCGGAGAACGGCGUCAUUCACCUUAAAAUCAGAAACAGCAGAGGAGCAGGAGGAGAGAGAAAGAGAUGGUCAGAUCUGCAGGGGCUUCAGGAAGAGCGCAUGGUGCCUGCUGAACCUCAGUUCAACUCAUUGUGUGUCCUGAACUCCGACGAGAACCUGCAGGAGCUACCAGGAGAAUGCAGAAGGAAUGCAGAAGAGAGCACACAUCCUACAGGGAACAAUUCCAUUCCAGACCUCAGCAUGGACAACUAAUCCUGUCUGAGUAAAGCUCUGGAUCCCAACCUGCUGCCCACUCCUGAACUGUUAAACACCAGAGUGUGCUCACUGAAGAGAGCAAGGAGAGAAAAGACAAAGGAGAAGAUCACAAAGACGAGAGUAAAACGAGUGGAAAGUGUCAGAAGAGUGAAGGAAAGUGUGUAAUGUGUGUGUGAGAGAGAGAGAGAGAGAGAGAGAGAGAGAGAGAGAGUCUGUAAUGAGCUCCUAAGGGAAAGCAGACAUGUCUGAUGUAGUAGAUAUUCAGAAUCUAACACACACACACACACACACACACACACACACACACACACACACACACACACACACCAUCAUCAGCUUCAUAGAAGUUCAGAUGGCCAGACUUUCCCAUCAUACACACGUCUGUUCUCCUGAUACUCUUUAACCCAUUCUCUCUUUCUUUUUAUUUUCUCUUUCCAUUUUGUCCUUUCCUUCAUUCUACCCCAUCUUUCUUCCUUCCUUCCAUCCUUUCAUCCAUCCAUCCAUCCCCACUGUAUCCCUUAUCUGUUCGUUAUAUUUCUCGUCUCGUCUCACGUUUCUUCCUUCAUCUUUCUGUCACGAUUUCUUUUCUUACGCUCCCUUGUCCUCCCUUUCUCUCCUCCACACAAUCUUUGUCUUUCUUUCUAUCUUUCUUUCUUUCUCUUUGAUCAGUAAACGGUCAUUUGUAUGGAAUUAGUGAAACUAGUUCACUGUAUCUAACUGCUGUGUGUGUGUAUAAGUGGACUUGGUUUAUUGCAUUUCUC